rnacentral:rRNA from 1 species
AGGAUGAACGCUGGCGGCGUGCCUAAUACAUGCAAGUCGAACGAGGUCUUCGGACCGAGUGGCGAACGGGUGAGUAACACGUUGGUACCUACCCCGAAGUGGGGAAUAACUGCCCGAAAGGGUGGCUAAUACCGCAUAAUACCGCAAGGUUAAAGCAGUAAUGCGCUUCGGGAGGGGCCUGCGUCCCAUUAGCUAGUUGGUAGGGUAAUGGCCUACCAAGGCGACGAUGGGUAGCUGGAUCGAGAGGUUGACCAGCCACACUGGGACUGAGAUACGGCCCAGACUCCUACGGGAGGCAGCAGUAAGGAAUCUUCCACAAUGGACGAAAGUCUGAUGGAGCAACGCCGCGUGCAGGAUGACGGCCUUCGGGUUGUAAACUGCUUUUAUAUGGGAAGAUUAUGACGGUACCAUAUGAAUAAGGACCGGCUAACUACGCGCCAGCAGCCGC